GAUGAACGCUGGCGGCGUGCCUAAUACAUGCAAGUCGAACGGAGCGGGGGCGGGUGAGUAACACGUAGCUGACCUCCUAUAAGACUGGGAAAACUUAGGGGAACCGGAGCUAAACCGGAUACGUAUAGGUGGUUCCACGCUGCAUUAGCUAGGUGGUAAGGUAACGGCGUACCAAGGCAACGAUGCAUAGCCGACUUGAGAGGGUGAUCGGCCAAACUGGAACUGAGACACGGUCCAGACUCCUACGGGAGGCAGCAGUAGGGAAUUUUCCGCAAUGGGCGAAAGCCUGACGGAGCAAUGCCGCGUGAGUGAUGAAGGUCUUCGGAUCGUAAAACUCUUUUAGUAGGGAAGCGGUACCUAAUCAGAAAGCCCCGGCUAACUACGUGCCAGCAGCCGCGGUAAUUC
rnacentral:rRNA from 1 species